GGGUCUUGGGAUAUUUGGGGUUAAGCGUCAUUGGGUUUGAAUAGUACUGAGCUGGGUGACCUCUCGGGAAGUCCAAAUUCAAGACUUU
rnacentral:rRNA from 1 species